rnacentral:lncRNA from 1 species
CAAUAACACCUGUGAUCUUUUUACAGGCACACACAGUGGGUUAUUAGUUAAAACAGUUUAGUUAUUAAGAAUGCUAUAAACAUAACUAAAAUUAACUAGUUAUACUCUAUAAUAGAGAACUACUUUUUAAUUGGUUACAAAUACUUUUCUAUAACAUAUCUACAAAAGUUACAGUAUCAUUUCUAUAGUACAUUUCUAUUCUACCACAGAAUCACUCUUCCACGUUUUGAAUAAGCCUAUAAUUAACAAAUUUAAAAAAAGGAAAAUGAGAAGAACCACCAUAUGCAAAUUUAAUAAGCCUCAGGGCCUCAAAAAAAAACAACAAAAAAAACAAAAAAACAACGAAACCCUUUUGUAGUACAUUAAAACAACAAACAAACACAUCCCAAUCAAACCAACAACAGAAAAAAUAUAUAGCAAUAAAGUAAAACACAACUAAUACCCUUUUUUACAAAGCACAGACCUUAGGGCUGCACCGAAGCAAUAAAUAGUUUGAGACUUCCCCACCUGUGUCCAAUCUGCAGUUAGUCAUUAGAGUUCUAAAGGCAGCACGUGGAAGCGCUCCCACUAUUCCGUCUGUGAGCGUGAGAUGGCAUGGAGGUGCCUACAGCUGUUGGACUGUCACUCAAUCUAUACUACACCUCAUUGUGCCCAGGAGGGGUACAUCUAUGUCUCAGGCUGUGUGAGGAUGCCAAGACUCUUCACAGGACCAAGGCAUUGCUCCACUUCUACUGAGUCCUUGGUCUCUCUGAAGCAUGGGCUGCAAUUGGAGAACAAUUGGGUGUGUAGAGUAGUUGCUUCAGAAGCCCCCAUGGGAUUUAGGACUCAGGAACCCCUGCUGCAAACAAAUAAAGGCUGAGGUUUGGGCCAUCUGAGAAGAGUUCUUGUAAGUCAGAGGGGCUGCAGAAGUCAUUUAGCAGUAGCCCUAUGGCAAGUCUGUGCAGAGGAAAAGCAUUUUAGCACUGAAUUAUUUGGGGGUGUAAGUACUUUAAAUUUGCACCAGAAGCCUUUCCUUCUAAGCAUUUUAAUCUUAGAGCAAUGCUAAUCUUAAGAUCUCAAAACAAGAAUACUGCUUUACUUUCAUUUGCUAUUUGAAAAGCAUUGCUACUUGAAGAAAAACUUUCAGGCAUAAUUUUAAGUACUUAACAGCAUUGUGUUAAUAGUCAUUAUGAAGAAAGAUGACCCCCAAAUACAUCAUGUAUUUUCCUCAGUGUCUGAUUCUCAGCCAGUGACAAAUUAUAAUACAGUUUUAGUAAUACUGCAUAAAGGAAUUCAGGAGCACUUGACAGAAUACACACAAAAUUGUAUGGUUAUAUGUGAUGUGUAAUAUAGCACAGAAUUUUGAGUCUCAUAGAUGCUGUGACUCCUUUCUUCAAGAUUUACUUGUCUGGCAGUUUUGAAGCUGUGUUUAUCUCUGUGUAAUGGCUGCAGGUGUCUCUGUCAAAGAGGAAGGUGAAUAGGCUCUAGAAUCAGCUUGGACAAUUUGCAUGUGUUUCUGGUAUGUAUGGUGUGUUCUCCCACAGUUUUCAGGAUGAUUGUGUCUAUUUAUCUUUCUCCAGAGAAAAUAUCCAUCUUUUGGAUGGAGAGAAACUGUGUUCAUGCAGCAGAAAUAAUAGGCAGGCAAAGCUGUGACUUGCAAGUGGUUUUUGCAGUGUAAUUGAUUUCCAAAUACUUGGUCAUUAUUUAGGAAUCUGUGGGUAUUUUCUUGUCUCUGAUUCAGAUUGUUUCACCUUCUGUGAGUAUUCUGCUUAUGCAAGUAACAUGGAAAGAAAUUCAGGGCUUUCCUCAGGUAUCUGAGCUCCACUUGCUGCAGUCAUGUGUGCCAAUCAUAGUCUUGCCUGCAUCUGAAUUGACCAAUUGAGCAUCAGAGGUAGAGGUGGGGCAGCUGGGACCUCUAUCAUACUGUUCAGGUAGUGUAUAUUGUGUGCUUGAAGUGCCAUUUUGUAUGGAGAUGUGCAAAUGCUCUGUUACCUUGGUCUUAUAUUAGGCUUUUUAACAAAUGAGUGAACUGUAGUCUUGCUAUUCUGCCGUAAGUGUCAUUCACUCAUUUAAGAGUCAAAUUUAGAGACCUGUUUAGUUCCCAGAAUAAAAAGAAAUAGUUUGCCCUGCA